AUCCAUCAAAUUCUAAUUUCACCGACUACACAUCCAUCAAAUCCAAUAUCGAUCAACUACUACACAUCCAUCUAAUCUAAAUAUCAAGUACAUAAUCAAAGCCUAUAAAGUACAUAAUCAAAGCUAUGUCGUUUAGGUUUGCUCCUGGAAGAUGAACUUUUGUGCCAUCCAGGCCUUUUAAAUGCACCACCACCUGCAACAACUCGUUUAAG
rnacentral:lncRNA from 1 species